UACGUAGGUGGCAAGCGUUGUCCGGAUUUAUUGGGUUUAAAGGGUGCGUAGGCGGCCGAUUAAGUCAGUGCUGAAAUACUCUAGCUUAACUAGAGGGGUGGCAUUGAUACUGAUUGGCUUGAGUGAAGUCGAGGUAGGCGGAAUUGACGGUGUAGCGGUGAAAUGCUUAGAUAUCGUCAAGAACACCGAUAGUGAAGACAGCUUACUAGACUUCAACUGACGCUGAGGCACGAAAGUGUGGGGAUCGAACAGG
rnacentral:rRNA from 1 species